UGUUUAUCAGAUUUACAUUCUAAACGUGGAGAAAUGGAGAAGAAACAGGCAGCAUUAAAAGCCCUGACUCAGCUGGAUCUGAACAGUAGUAACCCCGAGGAUAUUAUACAGAGGGCCGUACAGAUGCGCAAGAGGAAGUUCCUCCGAGCCCUGGCCAAGCAAUAUCUGUAGGAUCCUCAGCUAGCAAUAAUAUCUGUAGCACUGCUGUAGAGCCCUCAACAAGCAAUAUAUUACAUUUUGAAGACAGCUUCCACAUGUAAUUCAGGAAACUGUCAAAAAGUCAUUGAUUGUUCACCAGUAUUGAAGGGAAAGGAAUUGUUGAGUUGGAUACAUGUAGAGAGUUAGAUUCAGAUGGACCAUGAUGUACUUCAGGGUUGACAUUAUUUUUAUUCUAAAGGUUCUUGUCUGUGUGAAAUGUAUAUGUAUUGAAAACAAUGUGCAAAAGAUCUGAGACAUACAUGUACGUACCCGUCUUUUGUUUAGAUCAGGCUGUACUUUUAUUUUGUGUUUCUGUCAGUUAUUAAUGGUCUCAAUUAUGUAAUAUAGAAAUAUAUUUUUGUAAUUUUACAUAAAAAUUUUGCCAUCUUACCUUUACAUAUGUAUCAGGUACAAAUUUUCGCUGCACACAGCUAUUGAACUGAAUUUUGAUUCUAUGGAAACAAGUACCAGAUUUUUCUAACCUGUGUACACUGUGCUCUUAUUGUCCAUAGUAUUCUUUUAAUACUUGGAUUAUCAAAAUUUAAGAUGAAUUGUGAUUUCUUGUAAUUUUAUGUAUUAUAGCUAAUCAUUGCACGUCAGUGUUCAAAUCAAAGCACACAACUCCUUGGUGUGUGGUAUUCCUCUGUAUUGCAAUAUUUUGUACUGUGGGAAAUUAAAUAUGUCUUCAUGUA